rnacentral:lncRNA from 1 species
AUUCUGGACGCUAGUGGGAAGCUGCCCUGUGAAGACCAGGCAGGCAGGGAAGAAUAGAGUGGUGGAGACUGGCCUGAAAAAGCUGGGGACUGGGAAAGAUCUCAGACCAGGCCACCAAAGCUUUAUGUCUUAAUCAUUCCAGACAACUUCCCCAAAUAUGGAUUGUGUGUGCCACAGAAAGAACAAUGAAAAGCUGUGAGUUUGGUGUAGAAAAGAUAAAUAUAAGCCCUCUCUCCACUUGUUGGCUCCCAGGAAGAAUUCAUUUAGAAGUGAAGGCCUCAGCAAGAAGACAAGCCUUGGCUCAUGUAUCAGUUAUACAUUAGUAAUGCAAAUAAAGCCAGGCACUGAACAAUCAGCUACUGGUGUUGAGAGUGGACAGAAGGUUGGGGACAAGGAUGACGCCCCCUCCCUACACACCCUACAAAAAGAGUUGGGCAAGGGAAGCAGAUGGUGGAAGCAGGGUGUAAAAUAAGAGCACGGAUGGAAGUCAGGUGGAUCUAGAGAUAGGGCUGGAGUGGGGACAAUGCAGGGAUCAGGGUCUGCCCUGCAGCCCAGUGUACCUGGUCCCUGAGUCUAGAUGUAUAAGACAGAAUUGGAGCAAGGCAAUUGCAGCAGGAACGGGAGAUGGGAGAAGGAAAUGCCUAAGACUUGAGAAGAGCCUGGAUGAUGUUGGCAAAGCUUCAUGGAUCUGGAGAUGUGGGCAGGUGCCACAGUAAGAGGAAGAAACUGAAGUUAGCUCAGCAAUGCUACAAGUGGCUUGGGCUUAACAGAAGGUUUGGCAGAUGUCAACAUUCAAUUUCACAUCCGUCCAUCUGUGAGAGAAUCCAGAGCAUGGCUGGGUUCCAUUUGGAAGGAAAGCGCCUAAUUAUUUAGGUCUGAGGGUAUGCAAAGGUAUCUUGCGUUUUCAUAUUUAGUAUGCUGGUAACAACAACAACAACAACAACAACAAAACCCACAAUGUACAGGCAUUUAUCUUUUUAAAAUCUCCCACUUAAUAGCGAAUGUUUUGAGAUUAUAAUGUGAAAUCUGUAACACUUUGUAACAUACAAAAUAAAUUUGCAUGAAUGGGUCAUAACGUUGGAAAUUAAGUUUACAAAUAAAUUGGUUUUGUUUAAAAUGCCAA